GCCGCGGUAGCUCAGUGGUGGAGCGCAUCCCUGAAGAGGAUGGCGUCGGGUGUUCGAUUCACCCCCGCGGCA
rnacentral:tRNA from 1 species